UACGUAGGGUCCGAGCGUUGCUCGGAAUUACUGGGCGUAAAGCGCGCGCAGGCGGUUUCUUAAGUCUGGUGUGAAAGCCCACGGCUCAACCGUGGAGGGUCAUUGGAAACUGGGGAACUUGAGUGCAGAAGAGAAAAGCGGAAUUCCACGUGUAGCGGUGAAAUGCGUAGAGAUGUGGAGGAACACCAGUGGCGAAGGCGGCUUUUUGGUCUGUAACUGACGCUGAGGCGCGAAAGCGUGGGGAGCAAACAGG
rnacentral:rRNA from 1 species